rnacentral:rRNA from 1 species
CCUACGGGCGGCAGCAGUGGGGAAUAUUGGACAAUGGGGGGAACCCUGAUCCAGCCAUGCCGCGUGUGUGAAGUAGGCCCUCGGGUUGUAAAGCACUUUCAGUGAGGAAGAACGCCUGGUGGUUAAUACCCAUCAGGAAAGACAUCACUCACAGAAGAAGCACCGGCUAACUCCGUGCCAGCAGCCGCGGUAAUACGGAGGGUGCGAGCGUUAAUCGGAAUUACUGGGCGUAAAGCGCGCGUAGGUGGCUUGAUAAGCCGGUUGUGAAAGCCCCGGGCUCAACCUGGGAACGGCAUCCGGGAAUGACGAGCAAGAGGGAAGGGGAGGAAGCGAGAAUUCCCGGGGUAGCGGGGAAGUGCGUAGGGAAAGCGCGGAAUGCCAGUGGCGCAGGGGGCAUUCUGGACCGACGCUGACGCUGAGGUGCGAAAGCGUGGGUAGAAAAAAGGACUAGAGACCCGAGGAGUG